rnacentral:rRNA from 1 species
AUGCACCAGGCAGGGCUUAGCCUUGGUGGCCACUUCACUCCAGCCAAUAUCCCUGUCUAUACAUCGCAGACCCUCAGCGUCAGGCUAACAGGGGUGCACUUCACCCGUUUCACUCAGGUCAACGGAUACAUUGACUACGACCAGCUUGUCACUUGUGUAGAGGAGAUGUUCUCGUUGCGGGAGUGGGUGCCACCUGCCAUCGAGGCAUGGCUAGACCUGAUCCAGGAUGGAGUUACGGGGCACGAGUACCUGAUCCGCUACAAUGUAGCCCUGAUGGAUCCUGCGCAAGCGUUCCAGUGGCUUAUGGAGGCGAGAGGCAUCCUGGAGCAGCUGCGCUUCAGAGACCCACGGACCUUCCAGUUGAUCCUUGGUAUGCACCCUGAGAUGGACGACUGGGAUAGUAACAGCUACUGCUUGAACACACUUCUGGCCCAAACCAGAGGGUUCAUCGACAGGCGAGACCCGACCCAGCAGCCCACCGUCUUCGAGCACGACGUCACAGGGGUUCUCACAGUAUGCAGGAAUAGCUCCCAGCACGCGUCCCGGUUCCUGGAGCGGUUCAUGGUACUCAUCCUAGAGUUCGAUUUUCCAGCGCUCCUUUUUUAG